GGCUAAAUCUAGAUAGGUGAAGAACUCUGGAAUGAGUCUUUGCCUAAAUAGGUUCACGUUAUCCUCGUGAACUUGCCCAAGGAUGAGGCCGCGACCGAUCAGGUUGUUGGCGAGGUAAUGGCUCACCAAGCCUUUUACCGGUGCGGGCCGUGGGAGCGGGAGCCCGGAGAUGGGUACUGAGACAAGGACCCAGGCCCUACGGGGCGCAGCAGUCGCGAAACCUUUGCAAUACACGAAAGUGUGACAGGGCUAUCCCGAGUGCCAUCCGCUGAGGAAGGCUUUUACCCAGUCUAGAACGCUGGGGGAAUAAGGAGAGGGCAAGUCUGGUGUCAGCCGCCGCGGUAAUACCAGCUCUCCGAGUGGUGUGGAUGUUUAUUGGGCCUAAAGCAUCCGUAGCUGGCUAGGUAAGUCCCUUGUUAAAUCCACCGAAUUAAUCGUUGGAUCGCGGGGGAUACUGCUUGGCUAGGGGACGAGAGAGGCAGACGGUAUUCUCGGGGUAGGGGUGAAAUCCUAUAAUCCCGGGAAGACCACCAGUGGCGAAGGCUGUCUGCUAGAACGCGCCCGACGGUGAGGGAUGAAAGCUGGGGGAGCGAACCGGAUUAGAUACCCGGGUAGUCCCAGCUGUAAACGAUGCAGACUAGGUGUUUGGACGGCCACGUGCCGUUCUAGUGCCGCAGGGAAGCUGUUAAGUCUGCCGCCUGGGGAGUACGAUCGCAAGAU
rnacentral:rRNA from 1 species